CUUUAGCCCCGAUAGAAAUGGAAAUCCUUAUAUGCCGGUGUUCGGCAUAUAAGAUUGCAAUGGAAAGCGGGCCCCAUG
rnacentral:sRNA from 1 species